GACAGAAAUCUGAUGGUCAGGAAACGGCAUUACAACGUGUCGAAAUUUGAAAAUUGGUUAGAAUUUAGUAGUAGCACUUAAAUUGGGCAAUGCUAACUACUUCCAGCAAUUAAUCUAAUCCCAAUUCUAUUCUCUACUGAUCUGAAUACAUUUACAAUUUACAGCUCUUUUAUACAAUAACACACGGACCCCACGCAUAUGCAUUUUAAGGUUUCCUUGCCUGGCUGCCAAAAGGGCGUGUUUCAUCUUUAUCUCAUUACUUACAUUACUCAUAAUGUUUCUUGCGCAAACAACUAAAUUGCGUACACAACUUUACAUUAUCAUAACUUCAACUAUCUAAUUUGCACCGCUCUCGUGAUUCGUGAAGCAUAAUAAAGGGCAUAAUAUAAGGGUAUAAUACCAGCAAAAAAGGGCAUAAUUCCCGUGAUCGCUUCGAAGCCUGGUCAAUAUUCCGGUAAUGAGACAUUGCGUGUGAUCACUGAUCAUGUUUCUAUAUGAACGAGUGAUUUCGUGUGAGUCGUGAGGUAGCAAAUACGGUUAGACAAAAUAGUCUGCAAUUUAAUAUACUCACUUUGUCGCCUAUGCGCUUAGUCUGUUUAUAAGUCUAUAAACACAUCUUCCAUUGGCGGAAUUAGCAACUAUAUUUUUUCUAAUGCGUUUCUUCCCACCUACUUUCAAAAUUCGGCGCGGGAUCGGCGCCCCCUUUUCAUUUUUGCGCCCCCCAAAAAUUGCCAGCUG